GGGAUGAAGGCCUCUGGGCUGUAAACCUCUUUUAUCAAGGAAGAAGAUCUGACGGUACUUGAUGAAUAAGCCACGGCUAAUUCCGUGCCAGCAGCCGCGGUAAUACGGGAGUGGCAAGCGUUAUCCGGAAUUAUUGGGCGUAAAGCGUCCGCAGGCGGCCCUACAAGUCUGCUGUUAAAAAGUGGAGCUUAACUCCAUCAUGGCAGUGGAAACUGUUGGGCUUGAGUGUGGUAGGGGCAGAGGGAAUUCCCGGUGUAGCGGUGAAAUGCGUAGAUAUCGGGAAGAACACCAGUGGCGAAGGCGCUCUGCUGGGCCAUCACUGACGCUCAUGGACGAAAGCCAGGGGAGCGAAAGGGAUUAGAUACCCCUGUAGUCCUGGCCGUAAACGAUGAACACUAGGUGUCGGGGGAAUCGACCCCUCCGGUGUCGUAGCCAACGCGUUAAGUGUUCCGCCUGGGGAGUACGCACGCAAGUGUGAAACUCAAAGGAAUUGACGGGGGCCCGCACAAGCGGUGGAGUAUGUGGUUUAAUUCGAUGCAACGCGAAGAACCUUACCAGGGUUUGACAUCCUGCGAAUCUCUUGGAAACUUGAGAGUGCCUUCGGGAGCGCAGUGACAGGUGGUGCAUGGCUGUCGUCAGCUCGUGUCGUGAGAUGUUGGGUUAAGUCCCGCAACGAGCGCAACCCACGUCUUUAGUUGCCAGCAUUUAGUUGGGCACUCUAGAGAGACCGCCGGUGAUAAACCGGAGGAAGGUGUGGAUGACGUCAAGUCAUCAUGCCCCUUACAUCCUGGGCUACACACGUACUACAAUGCUACGGACAAAGGGCAGCAAGUUCGCGAGGACAAGCAAAUCCCAUAAACCGUAGCUCAGUUCAGAUCGUAGGCUGCAACUCGCCUACGUGAAGGAGGAAUCGCUAGUAAUCGCAGGUCAGCAUACUGCGGUGAAUACGUUCCCGGGCCUUGUACACACCGCCCGUCACACCAUGGAAGUUGGCCACGCCCGAAGCCGUUACUCCAACCCUUGUGGAGGAGGACGUCGAAGGUGGGGCUGAUGACUGGGGUGAAGUCGUAACAAGGUAGCCGUACCGGAAGGUGCGGCUG
rnacentral:rRNA from 1 species